UGGUGGACAAGCUCCUAUUAUCAUGGACCAUGGCAGGCCUAUGGACCCUUAAGGAUCCAUAGGGAAAAAUUGUGGCUCACAGAGAACAUUGUUUAUAUGACCAGUGUUCCGAUGCUGAGGCUACAGUGGUAGGUGCAUGGAUGUAGGUUUGGGCAGCAUGCGGAUCCAGUAAAGAGGUUUCCUAAGGGUGUUGGAAGUUGGAUUUUUAUCAGGAUCCAGACACCAUUUUUCACCCGAAUUAAGCCCUAU
rnacentral:lncRNA from 1 species